GCAUGUGACGGAAGUAUUUUCUGACGAGCUUGCGAUGCUCUCCAUGGGGGCAACGUGGAGUCCGAAUGACAGAGGUCACCUGGGUGCAUGUGCUUGAACCUCGUUGCUAUUCACCUCUCAGCGGACAUUUUCAGGCCUGUGUGGCACAUUUAAGCAGCCAGGUGUGAAACAUGCGGUGGGCCAGAAUGAGGAUGGGGAUGGCUACGGUUAAGUAGACCAGAAAUAAUGUUACGUUUCCUUUUCCGUGAAGACAGCCAGCGGCAUCUCUCCCUCACAACUGCUCUUCUCGUUUUCUCACUUUGAUGUUGGAAGGUUGCAGCGGCUCGAAUCCAUUCGAGGAACAAAAACUCGUAGCUGACGACGCAAAGCUUGAAUGCAUAAGCGAGUGGCCUCCUUGGAUUAAUCCGCUAAUCAUUGUCCGCAAGUCAGCACAAGAGCCACAGGAUGAGAGCAGAAUGACCCGACCGCUGGACCCCGCAGGUACUAAGGACCGGUCCCUAUUCCACCAUGUGCCUGGCGGAGCGCGUCUGCGGCCGACACCCUUUUCCUUUUCAGGCAGCGCUGGUGAUGCGGCUGUCCUGUUUUCGUCUCGUCAAGCCGCGUCUUCGGUGGGCUGAGGCUCGUCACGUGUCUGUUCGAGCUGAGUCACAUUCAUGUCGACGACGAGCCGUGCCACAUCCACGCCCACGUCAGGCCGAGCUCCCGUUCAAAUCCGGCUGUCCUAUGUCCCCCGCUACGUCGAGCUCCGUCCACGUCAGGCAACGCCCAGCCAAAGGAUUGCCGCCGCUCUUGUUCCUGUUCCCUGGCGAGGUGAAGGUUGCCGUCGCUUUUAGUUCCCGUUCCCCAGCGAGGCAAGCCUUCUGGACAACUUUGGGACGUCUGGGAUCUGUCCCUUGAGGGAGGGGUACUGUCAUGAUUCGGUUUGGGACCAACAGGUGGCACUGUAGGGCUCCCCCUGCAGUUGCACACUUGUUGGUCAUUAGGUAAUUAGCGUAUAAAAGGACUCCUGCCCGAACAGUCAGUGUUGGGUCAUUGUUACUGUUUGCUCUUGCUACUGUCAUGUUCGUUUGUUUGCUGUUUGCUUGCAACUGUCAUGUUAGUUUCUGUCAUGGUUCUGUUCCUGUUAGUUUUUUACCACAGUCAUACUUUUGUUUUACUACUUUGGAUUAGUUUUGGUUGUUAGCACUUUGUUUGUUUUGGAAUCAGUUUUCUCUGUUUUAUUAAAUAUAAUUCGUCAAGUUCA